UAGAGUUUGAUCCUGGCUCAGGACGAACGCUGGCGGCGUGCUUAACACAUGCAAGUCGAGCGGGGAUACAAGGGAGCUUGCUCCUGAGUAUUCUAGCGGCGGACGGGUGAGUAACGCGUGAGCAACCUUUCCUCUACUGGGGAAUAACACAGGGAAACUUGUACUAAUACCGCAUGAGACCACAGAGCUGCAUGGCUUAGGGGUCAAAGAUUUAUCGGUAGAGGGUGGGCUCGCGUCUGAUUAGGUAGUUGGUGAGGUAACGGCCCACCAAGCCGACGAUCAGUAGCCGACCUGAGAGGGUGAUCGGCCACAUUGGGACUGAGACACGGCCCAAACUCCUACGGGAGGCAGCAGUGGGGAAUAUUGGGCAAUGGGGGAAACCCUGACCCAGCAACGCCGCGUGGAGGAAGAAGGUUUUCGGAUCGUAAACUCCUGUCCUCAGGGAAGAGCAGAAGACGGUACCUGAGGAGGAAGCCCCGGCUAACUACGUGCCAGCAGCCGCGGUAAUACGUAGGGGGCAAGCGUUGUCCGGAAUGAUUGGGCGUAAAGGGCGCGUAGGCGGCUCGGUAAGUCUGGAGUGAAAGUCCUGCUUUCAAGGUGGGAAUUGCUUUGGAUACUGUCGAGCUUGAGUGCAGGAGAGGUAAGUGGAAUUCCCAGUGUAGCGGUGAAAUGCGUAGAGAUUGGGAGGAACACCAGUGGCGAAGGCGACUUACUGGACUGUAACUGACGCUGAGGCGCGAAAGUGUGGGGAGCAAACAGGAUUAGAUACCCUGGUAGUCCACACUGUAAACGAUGAAUGCUAGGUGUAGGAGGUAUCGACCCCUUCUGUGCCGCAGUUAACACAAUAAGCAUUCCGCCUGGGGAGUACGGCCGCAAGGUUGAAACUCAAAGGAAUUGACGGGGGCCCGCACAAGCAGCGGAGCAUGUGGUUUAAUUCGACGCAACGCGAAGAACCUUACCAGGUCUUGACAU
rnacentral:rRNA from 1 species